GUCUUGUACCCACUUUCAUGUGUCCAACUUUUCCCUUGUGGGUGUGAGCUGAAGAGGGACACUGUUCCAUCACAGAUACUAUGAUGUCACUCUGUGGGUGUCAGGCAUUGUGGACUCAUUGCUUGUGCUGCAGGUGUGUGUCACUUCCUCCUGUCCAUGUUCUGUUCCAGAUGUGAUCUCCAACUCACUCUGCCUUCCACUGCGCCCACUUGAUGCCUUUUCCCCAAUUCAUGGAUGGUGAAUUGCAGAUUUAUGGUUGCUUGGUACCCCAACAUCAGGAGUUCCAGUCCCUAUCUGGACCCACUAAGCUCUGUUGCCCACUGCCACCGUCCACAGGCUGCCACUUUGAGGGAGGUGUCUUCAUGCUCAGCCCAAGAAGAAAGCUGCACGAGCUGAAGGCAUUGUCAGAGAUGGGCUCAUCCU
rnacentral:lncRNA from 1 species